GGCCCAGCCCCGGGAGGAGGAGGGGGCGCGACCAGUGCCAGCUUCAGCUUCUGCAGAGCUCCAGGUCCUGGGGUUGCAGGCGCGGGCCAAGCAUCUGAGCAGGCGCAAAGGACGGGGUCCGAUUCCCCAGAAAGAAACCCUGAGUUUUCUGUGUCAGUAUUUUCCCCGCCAUCUAUGCGUCCACUUUCAAAACCGACAGUGGAAAAUGCCUAACCCGUUUCUCCGCCUAAGAUCAUUCUUGAAGUUUUGGAUCCCCUGCAGAGCACAGCAAGGCUCCGGACUUUGUCCCGCGAGGAGUGACAGGUCUCGGGCCUCUUCCGUCCGCGGGAGGAAGCGGGGCUCCAGGCGGUGCGAGGACUGCGUGUGCCUUCCCCACACCCGCCCUCUGGGGACCUUGCCCCACAGCUUGGCUUUCCAGAGCUUUCUAGCCUACGGGGUCCCAGGGUCGGGACUGCAGGAGAGCCAGCUGGGACCUGACUGCCUCUGAAUCCCGCUGGGACCUGUUGGACCGCGCUUGUGUCGACGCAGUUCCACUCCCUUCACGCCAGGGGCGGCCUACGCGUCCCGAUGUAGAUCACUGCGUGCGUGCACGGAGGUGAAAUGUUUGAAAAAGCAGUUUCAGACUCUUCUUUGAAGAAGGAAGCAAAUGCCUAUGGUGACAAUGUUGAAGGGAGAAUGUUUCAUCCCGGGAUGUCCUACGCCUACUUACCGAUGGCUGUCUGAUCUCGGUUGACUGCAGGUCAUUAAAGCCCUGGAAAUGAAAGCAUCGACACAGGGGACAACUGCUCUUCCACUGCCACCGACCUGGUCCAAAUGAAGUCACCACCCCAGAGAACUGCCCUGACAGUCUCCCAGCUGGUCUUGCUUCUUCCUGCUGGCCCUUCCCAGUCUCCUCUCAGGAGAGCAGCUCCUGCGGUCCUUUAGGAAGUGAACAAGAGGCGGGAAGGACCCUUCCUAAAGGCCAACAGCUUCCCUUCUCCU